UUAGGAAUCUUCCCCAAUGGGCGCAAGCCUGAGGGAGCGACACUGCGUGAAGGACGAAGGUUUUCGGAUCGUAAACUUCUGAACGAGGGACGAAUAAUGACGGUACCUCGCUAAAAGCACCGGCUAACUCCGUGCCAGCAGCCGCGGUAAUACGGAGGGAGCUAGCGUUGUUCGGAAUUACUGGGCGUAAAGCGCGCGUAGGCGGCGUAUCAAGUCAGGGGUGAAAUCCCGGGGCUCAACCCCGGAACUGCCCUUGAAACUAGUAUGCUAGAAUCCUGGAGAGGCGAGUGGAAUUCCGAGUGUAGAGGUGAAAUUCGUAGAUAUUCGGAAGAACACCAGUGGCGAAGGCGACUCGCUGGACAGGUAUUGACGCUGAGGUGCGAAAGCGUGGGGAGCAAACAGGAUUAGAUACCCGCGUAGUCC
rnacentral:rRNA from 1 species